rnacentral:sRNA from 4 species
AUAUCUCUCUGUACGGGAAGGAUGAGAAGCUUCGACCAAGGUUAGAUUCGAGCGCAGCGAGAAAGCGUUGCCGCAGGCAACGACCCGAAGGGCGAAGCGCGCAGCGCUGAGUCAUCCUUCCCCCACCACCA